UCUGUGGAGACUGCCGGUGGUCAAAACCGGAGGAAGGUGGGAUGACGUCAAGUCCUCAUGGCCCUUAUGACCAGGGCUACACACGUGCUACAAUGGCCGGUACAAAGAGUUGCGAUACCGCGAGGGUGGAGCUAAUACUCAUAAAGCCGGUCUCAGUUCGGAUUGGAGUCUGCAACUCGACUCCAUGAAGUUGGAAUCGCUAGUAAUCGCGGAUCAGCAUGCCGCGGUGAAUACGUUCCCGGGCCUU
rnacentral:rRNA from 1 species